GUGCAGUUUUAUCAGGUAAAGCGAAUGAUUAGAGGUCUUGGGGUUGAAACAACCUCAACCUAUUCUCAAACUUUAAAUAGGUAAGACGUCCGACUUGCUUGAGUGAAGCCGGACCUCGAAUGCAGGGUUCCUAGUGGGCCAUUUUUGGUAAGCAGAACUGGCGAUGCGGGAUGAACCGAAAGCGGGGUUAAGGUGCCAAAGUCGACGCUCAUCAGACCCCACAAAAGGUGUUGGUUGAUCCAGACAGCAGGACGGUGGCCAUAAAAGUCGGAACCCGCUAAGGAGUGUGUAACAACUCACCUGCCGAAUCAACCAGCCCUGAAAAUGGAUGGCGCUCAAGCGUCGCACCCACACCCCGCCGUCGGGCCGAGCUGGCUGGCCCGACGUGUAGGAGGGCGCAGCGGUGGUGUUGCAGCCUAAGGCGCGAGCCUGGGUCGAACCGCCGUUGGUGCAGAUCUUGGUGGUAGUAGCAAAUAUUCAAAUGAGAACUUUGAAGACUGAAGUGGAGAAAGGUUCCAUGUGAACAGCAGUUGGACAUGGGUGAGUCGGUCCUAAGGGACGGGUCAACUCCUAGCAAGCGCGCACUCCCGGUCCGCCGGGAAGGCGCCCCCUCCCGAAAGGGAAUCGGGUCAAUAUUCCCGAACCGGAACGCGGAUAGGGCCGGUGAUCCUCGCGGUCGCCGACCACGGCGGUAACGCAAGCGAACUCGGAGACGCUGGCGGGGGCUCUGGGAAGAGUUCUCUUUUCUUCUUGACGGGCCAACCCCCUGGAAUGGGAUUGCCCCGACAUAGGGUU
rnacentral:rRNA from 1 species